GAUGAACGCUGGCGGCGUGCUUAACACAUGCAAGUCGAACGGAAAGGCUCCUGCUUGCAGGGGUACUCGAGUGGCGAACGGGUGAGUAACACGUGGGUGAUCUGCCCUGCACUUCGGGAUAAGCCUGGGAAACUGGGUCUAAUACCGGAUAGGACGAUGGUUUGGAUGCCAUUGUGGAAAGUUUUUCGGUGUGGGAUGAGCUCGCGGCCUAUCAGCUUGUUGGUGGGUUAAUGGCCUACCAAGGCGUCGACGGGUAGCCGGCCUGAGAGGGUGUACGGCCACAUUGGGACUGAGAUACGGCCCAGACUCCUACGGGAGGCAGCAGUGGGGAAUAUUGCCCAAUGGGCGCAAGCCUGAUGCAGCGACGCCGCGUGGGGGAUGACGGCCUUCGGGUUGUAAACUCCUUUCGCUAGGGACGAAGCGCAAGUGACGGUACCUGGAGAAGAAGCACCGGCUAACUACGUG
rnacentral:rRNA from 1 species